CCCAACAGGGGGGUUGCCUUCAAUUAACGGCGCAGUGAGGCGCGCAAAAGCUCAAAUUUGAAAUCUAGGCACCUUCGGUGUUCGAGUUGUAAUUUGAAGAUGGUAACCUUGGGUUUGGCUCUUGUCUAUGUUCCUUGGAACAGGACGUCAUAGAGGGUGAGAAUCCCGUCUGAUGAGAUGCCCAUUCCUAUGUAAGGUGCUAUCGAAGAGUCGAGUUGUUUGGGAAUGCAGCUCUAAGUGGGUGGUAAAUUCCAUCUAAAGCUAAAUAUUGGCGAGAGACCGAUAGCGAACAAGUACAGUGAUGGAAAGAUGAAAAGAACUUUGAAAAGAGAGUGAAAAAGUACGUGAAAUUGUUGAAAGGGAAGGGCAUUAGAUCAGACUUGGUGUUUUACGAUUAUCUUCUCUUCUUGAGUUGUGCACUCGUAUUUCACUGGGCCAGCAUCGAUUCGGAUGGUAAGAUAAUGACAGUUGAACGUGGCUCCAUUCGUGGAGUGUUAUAGCUUCUGUUGAUAUUGCCUGUCUGGAUCGAGGGCUGCGUCUUUUGACUAGGAUGCUGGCGUAAUGAUCUAAUGCCGCCCGUCUUGAAACACGGACCAA
rnacentral:rRNA from 1 species